AACGAACGCUGGCGGCAUGCCUAACACAUGCAAGUCGAACGAGACCUUCGGGGCUUGUGGCGCACGGGUGCGUAACGCGUGGGAACCUGCCCUUAGGUUCGGAAUAACUCCCCGAAAGGGGUGCUAAUACCGGAUAAUGUCUUCGGACCAAAGAUUUAUGGCCUUUGGAUGGGCCCGCGUUGGAUUAGCUAGUUGGUAGGGUAAAAGCCUACCAAGGCGACGAUCCAUAGCUGGUCUGAGAGGAUGAUCAGCCACACUGGGACUGAGACACGGCCCAGACUCCUACGGGAGGCAGCAGUGGGGAAUAUUGGACAAUGGGCGAAAGCCUGAUCCAGCAAUGCCGCGUGAGUGAUGAAGGCCUUAGGGUUGUAAAGCUCUUUUACCCGGGAUGAUAAUGACAGUACCGGGAGAAUAAGCUCCGGCUAACUACGUG
rnacentral:rRNA from 1 species